rnacentral:rRNA from 1 species
GUCCACACCGUAAACGAUGAUUACUAGAUUUUGGCCGCAAGGUCAGAGUCCAAGCGAAAGUGUUUAGUAAUCCACCUGGGGAGUACGUCCGCAAGGAUGAAACUCAAAGGAAUUGACGGGGGCCCGCACAAGCGGUGGAGCAUGUGGUUUAAUUCGAUGAUACGCGAGGAACCUUACCUGGGCUUGAAAGUUAGUGACCGCUCCUGAAAGGGAGCUUCCCGCAAGGGCACGAAACUAGGUGCUGCAUGGCUGUCGU